UCUCCCUUUCUACCAUGUGAAGGCACAGUGAGAAGGCAGCUAUCUAUGAACCAAGAAACAGGCAUUCACCAGACAUCCAAUCUGCCAGUGCUUUGACCUUGGGACUCCCAGCCUCCAGCAUGUGAGAAAGUGUAACUUCAAUUGUUGGGGCCAUGACAAAUAAAUGGACUGAAAAACAGGAGGCAAACAUAGAAGACCACAUUAUUCUGAAGAUGAGUAACAGGCACUGACAGAGAAGAAAGGAAGGAAUAAAGGAAAAAUGGUAUUGGCUCUAAAAAUAAAUGCAGGGGCCACAUGUGGAUACAUAACUGAGAGGUAAGAUAAGAAGUGCUGAGAAUAGGUAGUACAUCUAACUAUGAAAUACUGCUAAAGAAGCAAUAAAAGGAUCCACACAACCAUCUUCAGAGAAUAAUGCUGAUUCAAAACAACCAAUAUCCAAAAGUAAUAUACUGUAUAAUUCCUUUUAUAUAAACUGUUUGAAAUUACAAAAUUAUAGAAAUGGACAACAGAUUCAUGGUUGCCAGAGGUGCAAGAGACGGUGGGAACAGGGGAGAAGUGACUUUGGCUACCAAAGGGCAGCAGACAGGAUCUUUGUGGCAAUAAAGUGUUCUGUAUCUUGGCUAUUUCA